GUGACCUCAAAUCAAGUAGGACUACCCGCUGAACUUAAGCAUAUCAAUAAGCGGAGGAGAAAGAAACUAACAAGGAUUCCCCUAGGAACUGCGAGUGAAGCGGGAAAAGCUCAAAUUUAAAAUCUGGCGGUCUUUUGGCUGUCCGAGUUGUAAUCUAGAGAAGUGUUAUCCGCGCUGGACCGUGUACAAGUCUCCUGGAAUGGAGCAUCAUAGAGAAGAGAAUCUCGUCAUUGACAUGGACUGUCAGUGUUUGUGAUGCGCUCUCAAAGAGUCUAGCUGUUCGGGAAUGCAGCUCAAAUGCGUGGUAAUUCCAUCUAAAGCUAAUAAUGCCGUCAUACGAUAGCGAUACAAGUGCCUUGUGGAAAGAUCACAAGACUCUGGAAGUAGGGUUA
rnacentral:rRNA from 1 species